GUGGGUAUAGCUUGGUGAUAGAGUGUGUGCUUAGCAUGCACAAGGUCCUGGGUUCAAUUCCCAGCACCUCCA
rnacentral:tRNA from 1 species